rnacentral:snRNA from 1 species
AUCGCUUCUCGGCCUUUUGGCUAAGAUCAAGUGUAGUAUCUGUUCUUAUCAGUUUAAAAUUAUACAUCUCCUACACAUUUAAGUAUCAAAAAAUAAUACUAAUA